GUGGAUGCUGUGCUGAGAACUGUGCUUUACAGAUCUGAAUUUGAGCAUAACCUGAUGGUGAGGUGUUGGAACACUUGAUUAAAAUACACAACAAAUGUAGUGGAGCCUUCUUCCCCCUCCUGUGUCACGUUGUUCUGGCUGCCAUGCUUUCCCAAUAAUCCUCUCAAGCUGCUGACUUUUCAGUUUAUGUUUGGCUGGAGGAACAACGCAAGUGUUCUAUUUUUUAAGCCAGCGCAGCUUUGUGGAUUAGUUGUUUGAGCAGUUAUGGAGGGGUAUGUGUGGAAAGGGGCUUGGACUGUGGUGGUGAAGCCCAAAGCUAGUCCUGUGCACGGCUUUUCUUUUGCAGCCAGUGGUCUUUGUGAUAAGCUGCCUUUAACCAUCAUCUGCUAGCCACAUGGUGUCUUUUGGAUUGCUUCCUACUACUGCAGGGAUUUCUGAAAGCUGUCUCUUCAGUGCUGGAAGUGUGAAGCAGUACACAGCCGGGUAGAUGUGGGUAGGGGCAUUGGUGUCUUGUGUCUGUGGUGUGGGCAUUUGACAAGCGCUGCCGUUCAGCUACUCCUGAGAUCCUGAGUGUUCAACUGCUGCUGAGGAGGUUCGGGUGGAGAAUAAAUCAGUUGUGACUUACAAACAUGUUGCAGUGAUUGAACUUUUGCAGUAAACCCCCAGUUCAGUCUGGGAGGACCUUCAGAUACAGACCAUCAUCUUACACUGACUCUUAGAGCCUUGUCUGGCUGUAAAUCAUGGGCUGCCUUACCAGCAGUGGUCUGGGCUUUCUUCUUGUAUUAGUAAAUAAUGGAGAUUCUCCUGAUAAAGAGAACAACAUAGUGCCCAGUUACUGGUGGUGGUGGUGGCACUGCAAUGCAGUUUGUACUGUUCCCUCUUGACACUGCACUGAAGGCAUUGCCCAGCACAUACAAAUAGAGCCACCACAUACAAAUAACACCACCUUGUUCUCUACCACUGUUCACUUUGCUGUGGGCAAGUAGCUAAGUAGUGUUUUUACUCGGAUGUAAAAUAGAUUUUGCUAAUACUUGUUUCGUGGAACCUUAAUUUAUUCAUAGUUGCUGAUAAUAACCACUCGAAUAUGUUUGAUACCAUGAGUUCAGCAAAGGAGCUUAAACAGAGGUUGAGGAUGGAAAAUGAGUCUGUGUUUAAAAGCAGCUACUUACUUAGGGGAAGAAAUGGUAACAAAUGUCUAUGUAACUUAACAAAGUCAUAGGGCUGGUGCUGGGAAUCAGACAAGAAAGCCUGAUAUUUGUAUCUAAUAAACAGGUAGAAAUAAUUAACAGGAGAAAAAACAACUCUCACAUCGAAGAAAUGUUAUGAUGCAAGGUCCAGCAGUAUCAGUUGCCCCCCAGCAGUGGGAUGGGGAACAGAAUCAGGAAGAAGGUCUGACCUGGGCCUGGCCCAGAAGCAAAGCCCAGCAGUGUGCAUCCUGCCUCUGCCCGCCUGUGCCUAGCUCUGCUGUUAAAACUGUACUGAGCAGAGUGGAAAUCAUGACUGUAAAGAUGAUGCAAGAAAUCUGAAGUUCCUGUCUCCUGAAAGUUUUUGUCACAGUUGCUAAAAGCCUUUUAUGCAGUUUUAGAUAUUCUGUCAGUUCAGAAACUUUCUAUACCACUGGAUGAGGAAUGAUUUUCUUAUUUCUUUACAGUGGCAGUGCUGCAAGGGUAAGCUGUCAAAUUUUCAGUAGUUGCAGUCUCUGCAAAAAGAUGAGGAAUAUAUUGGAAAAGAUGUAAUUAAGGCACAUUAAUAAUACACAAAAAACAGGCAAUGGAAGGGGCUUUAAUGUAUGGAGCAACAGAGGUGUUAAAAGCUAUUGGAUUUCAGCUCACUUGAAUUACUGUAAAUUGGGAGCUAGUACAGAAGCAGCUAAAAUUGGCCUGCAAGGGCAUUUGGAUAAGUUGUAUAUUACCAGUAAAGAUGUCAAGAAAUCUUCAGCAAAAUGAGGGUUCCCCUCCUUAGAGCCUGUAACGAAUGAAGUGCAUUUUCUGUGUGCUUUGCUGGGCCAUGUAUUUGUCCUUUAAUCCUAAAGAGAAAUGCUUAUAACUUGAUUUCACUUUGGAAAGGAAAGAGAAAUGUAUUCCUGAAGUUUUUGAGGUGUAUUUUUUUGUUCUACAGACAUUGAUGAAAACAUUUCAAGUAGAGGAUCUACACUCAGAGGCACGUUGUCCACCUUGCUUCACUGUGUUGUGUUCAGCUUGUUAAGGUUUCUGUGAAUAUGGGAUUGCUUUUGCUAUAUAACUGGGGAAAAUGGAAGAUUAAAAAGUAUAGUCUGUCAGUGAGUGUUGAUUGUAACUUGUUAAAACCAAAUUAUAUACUUCACAUGGGUGUAGAUUUAAGAUGGGAAAAACCUCAGGCUGGUAAACUAUCGUAAGACACAUUCAGUUGUA